rnacentral:lncRNA from 1 species
CAAAAAUUGCACACAAAGCUGGCCAAGACCAAUUCGGUUGAGAGCUGGAUUUUUGCUGCACAUCUGGUGGAAUUUUUCUUGCACUUUACUGCCCUUUUAUUAAAAGGUACCAUGAGCUAUACACCUAUUUCAUUUAUAAUUCAUUCACGCAUCUUAUAUAUCUAGAAACCCCUGCUGAAAAACAAAAAAAAAAAAGAAAUCCUAUUAUAAACAUGCAUAUGAGCAGUUCGUGAUUUUCCAGCUUUGUCGUUCAAUUUCUAUGCCAAUUUUAUGAUGAUUCUUGCCUAAAUUUGGCUAUAUAUGUUUGCUAUGCAUGCUGGAAUACUAGGUGUACUUGUUUGAUUAAUAAGCUCUUGAGCAAUCAAGACUAAUUUGGAAAAAAAAAAUGGAACCAUAUGCCAUAAACUCACGGAUAAAAUAGGGGACUGAAAUCAAUUUCGGUAGAGUGACUAUAUCUUGGGCUAGAAAACUCGGAUUGGGAUGCCGUUUGUAGCGUUAGAAACUAGCUUCACAGAACUAUCUCUGGUAUAAAAAUCAGUUCCAAAUUCCUUCCCUAUAAAUACCAGUAAAUCGGCAAAGUUUGCUGUUUUUUUUUUUCGGAACCUGUUUUGCUGGACCAUUUGAGCAGCCUGUUUGCAACGACCUUUGACCCAAUUCUGAUCAGAAUUUGAACCUGAGUCCUUCAGAGAAAUUGUAUCUUCUUAAGUGCUUGUUGUGCCUACAAAAUUUCAAGUCAAACAGAGGUGUGUAGGCUGAGUUAUAGCCGAAACCCUCACUUAGCUUACAAAUUCUGGUUUGACCACGUUUUGUAGAUUAGUUUCUGACCAUGCUCAGUUCGCAUGGAUAAUGAUGAAACUGGGUGGUGAUGUCUUCAUAAGAACUGUGGAGCUCUGUUUCAGAUUCAAAACGGUAUAAAGUGCGUCCAAAUCCGAGCUUCGUAGCUCCAGUUAGAGCCAAAAUAAGAUCGUGUGUCAGAACUGCCUGGAACACUGGGCAGUUCUGACAGGUACUUUGACACCCACUUUUCGUUUGGUUCUGAGUUGAUCCAGGUCUUGGCCAAAACAUAAAAGUUUUAGGCUUAUGUCUUAGCUUUCCAAUGCCUUUGGAAUUUCUUGAUUUCGGUCUGUGAGUUGUGAGUUAUGGUUCUUCCACUAGACCCUAUCUGUCAUCUAAACGUGCGAACUCCUGGCACGUUGUUUCAUACUUAUGACCUGAUUCCGUUCAGAACUGGAUUGAAGUGUCUUCAUGAAAGUUAUAGAUUUUCUCCUUAGCUUCACGACGGUAUCUCAUAUGCCUCGAUCCGACAAUCGUAACCUACAUUGUGUUCAAAACAGUUCUUGACGUCAAAAAGGACAAGUUUGCGUUUCCGUUUUCCAUUUCCGCGCGCGUAUGGGUCGCAUUUGCUGUUUUCCUUAUUCGUAUGCACUUUGGAUACCUGUUUGAGCAAUAUCAUGACUCAACCUUCUGUUACAGACGGUAACGAAGUGCUCGAAGACGGUGGGGACCACUAACAGUUGAGUUUGACCAAGUGCCGUUUUUAUCUACUUUUGUACUCUAAAUAAGUAACUGGGACGUUUAUGUGUUAUAUGUCACCAAUGUGAAUUGUGUGUGAUAUAAGGGUGCUUAGGCGAGCGUGUACUUUAUCUCACUCGACCUAAACCCUAAUUUGCAUUUGCAAUAGAUAUAAAUUAUGAUAUAUGAAUUGUGUUGGGACUGAAUCCCUGAAGCAUGUGGCUUGGGAUGACCUUUUGUGUGUGUGUGAUGUGGAACUAUGAGUGGGCCCGAUCUAAAGGCUAGACGGACUAUUCGAGCCGGUUAGGGCUUGGUCGAAGUUAGUCCAAGCUAUCCUUAAGAUCACCAAUUUUAUGAAUAUAAUUCGAAUACGAUUCGAAGCUCGAGCCAUUUGUGUGUGUAUGGAUACUGGCCAGAGUGGGCGUAAGGUGGUCGGAGGAAGAAAGUGGAGUUCUACGGACCAUUCCUUGUGGUCGACGGAGGGUCGACAGGUGAUCACGCGUGGCGAAUGACUUGGCUUUGGAGCCAAUCCGUAUCCUUGAAUUGUUUUGUUACUUUUGCUUUGAUUGUGAUGCAUUUGUGGCAUAAAUAUCUGACUUGAUGCAAAAUUUACCAUUUUGCCCCUGCUUGCUUACUAAGCUUUAAGCUUACCCGUUUUUCUUUGUUAUUUCCUUAACAGGGGUCGUACGCGGGGAUCACACUUCACGAGAAUUAUAACCCUAGAAUUUACCUUUGAAAUUAUACUAGUUGGACUUUCUAGGAUGUUUUCUCACAGUUAGAGUUAGGACUCUGUGUAAGAUCCACUUUGUGGUUUUAGCCUUCGCUUUUGUGUGAUGUAGUGGACUGGAAUAUCCCUUUUGAAGAUGUAUAUAUUGUAAAUGGUACUUUUGGAGAUGUAUAAAUGUGAAUAGUAUCUUUUGGUAUCAUGAUUCUUUUAUUGGACAAAUUUAUGUUUUAUACUGAUUGAAGAUGUACUUAAGAAUGAAUGUUUAGUGGUCCAAUAGUAAUGUUAUCUCUGAAAUUAAUGUGAGUGAGUGAGUCCUGACGCGAGUUAGGCAGGCGGUCCGCCAAACCCUUUGGUACGCCUCUGGGUGCGGUGGGGUCGUCACAGGUGGUAUCAGAGCGCCUAGGUUAGAGGACUUAGGUAAUCGAGAUAUACGCGAUGGACAUUAAGUAUCUUUGAUUCUUUUAAGAUGAGUAAAAUAUUUUAAGCUGAAAAGCCGGUGUACUGACGAAUUAAUAUUUUGCAGAUAUGGAACCGGGCAGUUCGAGUGGUACGGGACCCAGCGGCGUGAGACCUGGACCGGUAUCUAGACCUCUGAGCGCAGGGGGCCCGGUGAACCAGGUCACGCGUAGACGGGUGAUUCGUUACCAGAGGAGACUGGGGGAACCAUACGCUCUAUAUUCACCCUUUGGUCGGAUGUCACACCGACCCUGUGAGUGUCGUCUCACCUAUGGUUAUCCAGAUGAGGUUGUUCUGGCGGUGGAUGACGAGAGGCGCCGCCUGGGGAAGGCAGUUGAUCGCCUGACCAGGCAGCUUGAGGAGGCCAGGGGAGUGAACCACGGCCAGGCUAUACACCUUAGGGAGAUAGAACAGAGCCUUAGGGAUGAGGAGGAGAGGACGGAUUUCUUCCGUCGUCAGUUGCACGACACGCACCUGCACCUCUGCGCCAUGAAGAGGCAACUACGGGAGCGGGUCCGGGGCGUAAUAGCCGACUGUGAGAUUGUGCUAGAUGUGGUCGCAGAACCGCCACCCGGAGCCACCGGCUCGGAGCCAAUGGAGGAUGCUGAUACUUUGGGCUCGAUUGGGGACUGGGCCCCUAGGGGAGGCGCUUAGGGCCGCUUCUGUGACUCUUGUUUUGCCUAUCCAUCUUUUGUAUCCGGAUUUGAUCCGCUAGUUUUUGGGAGCUGAAGUGCUCUUGUAUAUAAUGGGUUUUGUCCCGACCGGAGGUCGGGUAACUUGUAUAGUUUUGGCGUGCAUUUGUAUAUGUGUGUACAUAUUGUUUUGGCUGGUAUAUAUAAGUGUUUGCUUUCCGUUUUACGAAAUAUUUUGUGUUUCAUGUUUUUUGUAAUUUACUUUUAUUUUUUUUCCCUUUUAGCUUUUUGAACUUAAAAUGGACUCCGGUGGCGGGGAUAGAGGUAGGGGGCGAGGACGAAACCCCGAGGGAGAAAAUGAGCUCGAGAAUGACCAGGUAGCCACAGCCAUCCAGCGAAUGGCUGAUUUACUUGAGCGUAUGGUUGCCCAACAGGGCCAGGGUCAGGGGAGCAACUCCGGAAAUCCUGGGAGUAGUCGAGGGAAUCAUGAGGGAGAGGACCGCGCUUUAGAGCGGUUUCAAAAAUUUGCACCCCCUAAAUUUAUAGGAGGACCCAGCCCUGACCUGGCGGAGGGCUGGCUGGAGCGUAUACUGGAUAUUUUCGCCGCCUUGGGAUAUGCGGAGGAACGACAAGUAUCGUUCGCUACCUUUCAAUUCGAAGGACCCGCCCGAGCAUGGUGGAACGUGGUAAAAGCAAAAUGGGAACGAGAGCGGACCCCCUGGACCUGAAUUAACUUUACCAGGGAAUUUAAUGAGAAAUACCUUCCGCCGAUAGUACAGGAGAAAUGGGAGAAUGAUUUCAUUCGCCUGCGCCAAGGGGCGCUAAGUGUUGCAGAAUACGAGACCCAAUUCACUAAAUUGUCUCGUUUUGCUCCGGAUUUGGUGUCAGCAGAACAAAAGCGGAUCCGCCGCUUUGUUCAAGGGUUGAACGUUGGGAUCCAAGAGGCGUUGGCGGCCGCUCAGUUAGAUACUUUUAAUCAAGUGUUAGAAAAAGCGCAUAGGGUUGAGACAGCCCGGGGUCAAGUAAAGGCAUUUCAUGAUAAAAAGAGAAGGCAGCCGGGCACCGGAAACUUUAAUGCUGGACAAAGCUCGAGGAAUGAGCCGCCCACUAAAAUGGGUAGGGGAGCAGGAGGUCCAUGACCGGCGGGGACUUCGAACCAGGGAAAUGCCGGAAGAGGGCAAGCAGAGCGUGGGCCCCAGAGAGGUGGUCAAAGAGGAGGAACAACUACCGGGACGAGACAGACCUGUAGUUUUUGUGGAGGCAAUCAUACCGCCGAAAAUUGCUGGAAGAAUAGUGCAGUCAGGAGGUGCUAUAAGUGUGGUAGUACCGAACACCUGAUUGCUCAAUGUCCGAAUCUGCGGGCUGAAGGAGGCACCUCACGUGCAGAGGGAAGCGCGCCCAAGCCAGCAAAUGUAGCGGGCAAUCGACCGAAGAUACCUGCGAGGGUCUAUGCCAUGGGACAUCAGGAGGUGACUGACCCUUCGGCAGUCAUCGAAGGUACGCUUUCUAUAUUUCGGCGUACCGCAAGUGUGUUAAUAGAUCCUGGUGCUACCCACUCCUUUGUGAGUCCUGCAUUCAUGGCACAUAUAGACAUUAAGGCAGAGAAGUUGCCAUAUGAUUUAGAAAUAAAGACUCCCAUUACCAAUAAGAGCAUCCUUGCUAAUAAAAUGUACAAAGGUUGUGACGUGUGGAUGGGGGAACGAAAGUUGUCGGUGGAUUUAAUAGAAUUAACUCUUAAGGGGUAUGAUCUCAUAUUAGGUAUGGAUUGGCUAGCUAAAUAUUAUGCACGUUUGGACUGCAGUACGAAAAAAGUUGAUUUUCACAUACCGGGUGAGCCUACAUUGCAAUUAGAUGUACGAGGGAAGUUAGCCUCCACCACUCUUAUUUCUGGGAUUCGGGCCCGGAAAUUGCUAAGUAAGGGUGCCCGAGGAUUUUUGGCCACGUUGAUUAAUACCCCAGGAGAGCAGUUAAAAGUAGAAAAGGUACCGGUGGUGUGUGAGUUUCCUGAGAUAUUUCCCGAAGAAUUGACCUCACUACCGCCGGAAAGAGAAAUCGAACUUAAGGUUGAUCUGCACCCAGGGGCGGAACCAAUAUCAAAAACCCCUUACCGCAUGGCUCCUGCGGAACUGAAAGAAUUAAAAAUACAGUUACAGGAAUUAUUGGAUCAAGGAUUUAUUCAGGAAAGUGAAUCUCCUUGGGGAGCCCCGGUACUAUUCGUAAAGAAAAAGGAUGGAAGUCUACAGAUGUGCAUUGAUUACCGGGGACUAAAUAAUCUCACGAUUAAGAACAAAUAUCCCCUGCCACUGAUUGAUGAAUUAUUUGACCAACUGCAGGGUGCAGUUGUAUUUUCUAAACUGGACCUUCGACAGGGAUAUUACCAAUUAAGGAUCCGGAAGGAGGAUAUCCCUAAGACCGUGUUUAAUUCGCGGUACGGGCAUUUUGAAUUUGCAGUCAUGCCCUUUGGAUUGACGAAUGCCCCAGCUGCAUUUAUGGACUUAAUGCACCGAGUUUUCAAACCUUAUCUAGACCAAUUUGUUGUGGUGUUUAUUGAUGAUAUUCUGGUCUACUCGAAGACUCGUGAGGAUCAUGAACGGCAUUUGAGGUUAGUGCUACAGACUCUUAAGGAGCACCAAUUGUAUGCUAAAUUUAGUAAGUGCGAGUUCUGGCUGGACAAGGUGUCUUUUCUUGGACACGUCAUUUCAAAAGAUGGAAUAGCGAUGGACCCCGCUAAAGUGAAAGCCGUCACAGAAUGGAACCGACCUAAGAACCCAACUGAAGUUAGAAGUUUCUUAGGGCUUGCCGGAUACUAUCGCCGCUUCAUAAAAGAUUUUUCUAAGAUAGCUGGACCUCUGAUGGAUUUGACUAAGAUUCACAACCAAUUCAUCUGGACUUCCAAGUGCGAGGCCAGUUUUCAAGAGUUAAAAAGGCGAUUAACUUCUGCACCAAUUCUUACUUUGCCCAACGGGAAAGACAGCUUUGUAGUGUAUACGGAUGCAUCUCGGAUGGGCUUGGGAUGUGUACUUAUGCAAAAUGGGCAAGUGAUAGCCUAUGCAUCUCGAAAAUUAAAACUCCAUGAGCAAAAUUACCCGACUCAUGACUUAGAAUUGGCGGCAGUAGUAUUUGCUCUUCAAAAGUGGCGACAUUAUUUAUAUGGGGUAACCUUUGAGGUUUUCACCGACCAUAAGAGUCUCAAGUAUUUAUUUUCGCAGAAAGAGCUGAAUUUGAGGCAGCGUAGGUGGAUGGAGUUCUUAGAGGAUUAUGACUGCACCAUUAAAUACCAUCCAGGUAAGGCUAAUGUAAUAGCUGAUGUCCUUAGCCGAAAAGUUCAAGUAUCUAGUCUACAGGUGAAAGAGUGGGAGCUACUAGAAAAAGCUGGGGAAUGGAAUCCUCAACUUAUACCAUACAAAGUGUUGUUUAGUAAUAUUCAGAUGAUUUCCACGCUAUUGCCUAGGAUAAAGGAGACUCAGAAGAAGGACUCCCAGGUGCAGAAGUGGAAAGACAAAGUCGAGAAAGGGAUGAUACCCGACUUUAAUGUGGGUUUAGAUGAGAUGUUAAGGUAUAGAAAUCGAUUGGUUAUACCCCAGGAUACGGAUAUCAAGAAAGAGCUAUUGGAAGAAGCUCACCGCUCGCGAUAUACAGCACACCCUGGUACGACGAAAGUAUAUCAAGAUUUGAAGAGUUCGUACUGGUGGGAGGGCAUGAAAAAGGAGAUUGCUCAGUUUGUGCAAACAUAUCUAACCUGUCAGCAAAUAAAAGCUGAGCACCAAAAACCAUCAGGUUUGCUCCAACCGUUAGAAGUGCCAGAGUGGAAAUGGGAGCACAUUACUAUGGAUUUCGUAUCCGGUUUACCGCGAGCACAAAAGGGACAUGAUGCCAUUUGGGUAAUUGUAGACCGCUUGACCAAAUCAGCUCAUUUCUUACCCGUAAGCAUGAGGUAUACUUUAGAAAAACUAGCUCAACUUUAUAUAGAUGAAAUCAUACGACUACAUGGCGUGCCAGUGAGCAUAGUUUCGGAUCAAGACCCACGGUUCGUGUCGCGAUUCUGGCAAAGGAUGCAAGAGGUUUUAGGCUCUAAACUUAAUCUCAGUACAGCUUACCAUCCUCAGACAGAUGGACAAUCGGAGCGAACGAUACAAACUCUUGAGGAUAUGCUCCGAGCGUGUGUCAUGGACUUUGGGGGAAAUUGGAGCCAACACCUCACAUUGAUAGAAUUCGCAUACAAUAAUAGUUACCGCUCCUCCAUACAAAUGGCACCAUAUGAAGCACUAUAUGGACGUAAGUGUCGCUCACCGAUCUUUUGGGAUGAAGUCGGUGAAAGAAAGAUUUUGGAUUCGACUACGGUGCCAUGGAUAGAAGAAGCAGUAGAAAAAGUUAAAAUUAUUCGCAAGAGAAUGCAGACGGCUCAGAGUCGGCAGAAGAGUUACGCCGAUCACCGAAGAAAGGAUCUGGAGUUCGAGGAGGGGGACAUGGUAUUUCUCAAGGUAACACCACUCCGAAAAACGAUUGCGGCCAAGAAAGGGAAGAAGUUGAAACCUCGAUAUAUAGGACCGUAUAGGAUUCAAAGCCGAGUCGGAACAGUGGCGUAUCAGUUAGAGUUACCUAUUAAAAUGUCCCGAAUCCACAAUGUCUUCCACGUCUCGUUGUUGAAGAAGUAUCAUCCAGAUCCCGCACAAAUCCUACACACAGAGGAUGUCGAGUUAGACGAAACCCUCACCUAUGGAGAGCAGCCGGUACAAAUUUUGGAUCGAAAGGUGAAAGAACUAAGAAAUAAACAGAUAUCUUUGGUAAAGAUUUUAUGGAGAAAUCAUGAUGUGGAGGAAGCCACCUGGGAAGUGGAGGAAGACAUGCAGAAGGAAUAUCCUUCUCUGUUCACAAACAAAGGUAUUAAUUUCGAGGACGAAAUUGCUCUAAGAAGGGGAGGUUGUGAGAUUCCGAUUAGCCUCUGAUUUCAAUAUCACGUGAUAUUAAGGGCAUUUUGUUCUAUUUUGUACGAAUUUAGUAGAAAACUCUAGUUUCUUUUUGUAUUGUGAUAACUCAAAAAAUUAAUUAAUUAUAUGUAUGUUAUGAAUCCUUUUAUUUUAAUUGCUUAGAUGUUAGAAAAUUACAUAUAACAAAUGAAUGGUUAAAAUAAAUGCAUAAUUGAAUUUCUAUAACAGAUUGAAAAUUUAAACGCCACUUGAGUUAUGCAAAAUUCUAGCUACAAAUCCACUCCUACUACCGAGGUUUAGGUCCCAAUUUGAUGCUCAUUCACCUAGCAAAAUAUGCUAGAAAACUUGAGAGGAGCAAAGAUGAAAACCGUUUAAGAUUCAAGGACCAAACGAUGAAUACCGAAAUUGCACUUUAGUCCUUUACUAUAUUUAGCCAAAAAGAAAACACUUACUCUGAUUCUGGUCAGCUUGGCCGAGAAUACCAAGGCUGGAAAGCCUUGAAUCUUCAUGAUUUUUGCCAGCAAAAGCAUGACAAUGUGGGUGGGAACACUUGUCAAUUUUCCAAGCCAUUGAGUUGGCAAAACUCCAAUCCUUGUCAUGCUAGCUUAGGCUAUUAUAAAUACCAGACAUCCAGGCGUAGUAAACACUUUGGCAAUCUUCUCAUCUUCACCGAAACUAGCAAGAAAUUAUCAGCUCACUUACUACAAAAAUUGCACACAAAGCUGGCCAAGACCAAUUCGGUUGAGAGCUGGAUUUUUGCUGCACAUCUGGUGGAAUUUUUCUUGCACUUUACUGCCCUUUUAUUAAAAGGUACCAUGAGCUAUACACCUAUUUCAUUUAUAAUUCAUUCACGCAUCUUAUAUAUCUAGAAACCCCUGCUGAAAAACAAAAAAAAAAAAGAAAUCCUAUUAUAAACAUGCAUAUGAGCAGUUCGUGAUUUUCCAGCUUUGUCGUUCAAUUUCUAUGCCAAUUUUAUGAUGAUUCUUGCCUAAAUUUGGCUAUAUAUGUUUGCUAUGCAUGCUGGAAUACUAGGUGUACUUGUUUGAUUAAUAAGCUCUUGAGCAAUCAAGACUAAUUUGGAAAAAAAAAAUGGAACCAUAUGCCAUAAACUCACGGAUAAAAUAGGGGACUGAAAUCAAUUUCGGUAGAGUGACUAUAUCUUGGGCUAGAAAACUCGGAUUGGGAUGCCGUUUGUAGCGUUAGAAACUAGCUUCACAGAACUAUCUCUGGUAUAAAAAUCAGUUCCAAAUUCCUUCCCUAUAAAUACCAGUAAAUCGGCAAAGUUUGCUGUUUUUUUUUUUCGGAACCUGUUUUGCUGGACCAUUUGAGCAGCCUGUUUGCAACGACCUUUGACCCAAUUCUGAUCAGAAUUUGAACCUGAGUCCUUCAGAGAAAUUGUAUCUUCUUAAGUGCUUGUUGUGCCUACAAAAUUUCAAGUCAAACAGAGGUGUGUAGGCUGAGUUAUAGCCGAAACCCUCACUUAGCUUACAAAUUCUGGUUUGACCACGUUUUGUAGAUUAGUUUCUGACCAUGCUCAGUUCGCAUGGAUAAUGAUGAAACUGGGUGGUGAUGUCUUCAUAAGAACUGUGGAGCUCUGUUUCAGAUUCAAAACGGUAUAAAGUGCGUCCAAAUCCGAGCUUCGUAGCUCCAGUUAGAGCCAAAAUAAGAUCGUGUGUCAGAACUGCCUGGAACACUGGGCAGUUCUGACAGGUACUUUGACACCCACUUUUCGUUUGGUUCUGAGUUGAUCCAAGUCUUGGCCAAAACAUAAAAGUUUUAGCCUUAUGUCUUAUCUUUCCAAUGCCUUUGGAAUUUCUUGAUUUCGGUCUGUGAGUUGUGAGUUAUGGUUCUUCCACUAGACCCUGUCUGUCAUCUAAACGUGCGAACUCCUGGCACGUUGUUUCAUACUUAUGACCUGAUCCCGUUCAGAACUGGAUUGAAGUAUCUUCAUGAAAGUUAUAGCUUUUCUCCUUAGCUUCACGACGGUAUCUCAUACGCCUCGAUCCGACAAUCGUAACCUACAUUGUGUUCAAAACAGUUCUUGACGUCAAAACGGACAAGUUUGCGUUUCCGUUUUCCAUUUCCGCGCGCGUAUGGGUCGCAUUUGCUGUUUUCCUUAUUCGUAUGCACUUUGGAUACCUGUUUGAGCAAUAUCAUGACUCAACCUUCUGUUACAGACGGUAACGAAGUGCUCGGAGACGGUGGGGACCACUAACAGUUGAGUUUGACCAAGUGCCGUUUUUAUCUACUUUUGUACUCUAA